AUGACCUGGACCUGGAGGAUCUUGCUCUUUGUGACAGCAGCUACAGGUGCCCACUCCCAGGUUCAGUUGGUUCAGUCUGGGGCUGAGGUGAGGAAACCAGGGGCCUCAGUGAAGGUAUCCUGCAAGGCUUCUGGAUACACCUUCACCAGCUACUAUAUGAACUGGGUGCAGCAGGUUCCUGGACAAGGACUUGAGUGGGUGGGAGGAAUUGACCCUGAAGAUGGUGAGACAAGCUACGCACAGAAGUUCCAAAACAGAGUCACCGUGACUAGUGACACAUCUUCAAACACCGUCUAUAUGGAGCUGAAAAGCCUGAGACCUGAGGACACGGCCAUAUAUUAUUGUGCGAGAGACACAGCGUGA